UUUUGACUCCAAGGUUUAUUAGGAAAGAUUUGAGUGAUGGAAUUAAUUUGCUUUGAAAAAUGAACAUUUUCUAAGCAUCGCGUCUCCUAAACAUACAUCUAAAACGGUAAACAUACAAUGUGUGUGCGUGUCGGUGCUUGUGUCGGUGUACAUCACUAUAAAGAGUCCAUUGUCCUUUACAUUUCCCUAUUUUACAUGCUAUGGUCUUGUAAGGAAUUAAAAGGAAAUUAAACUACCUAAAAUUACAUGUCCAUUUGACAUAGAAAUUGAAAGAUAAAAUGCCUAAACUACAAAAAAUGAAGAUAAAGUGAUAAGGUGCUUAUGAAAUGGAUGAAACAUGAAAUAGAAUGAUUAGUAGAAUAAGGCAUAAAUGGUAAGAAAAAGUAAGCAAUCAAAUAUGAGAUAAAACGGUGAAAAUGACGACAAUAGCCGAAAUGUAAAAGGAAACACAUUACUUGAAACACAAGAAACUAAAAAAUCACAUCUAAAACAGUAAAAAAAACACAUGAUCAGAGGCAUAUUCAUCACAAAAUUGCAUAUCAAUCACUCAUAUCAUAUAUCAAAAUAUUAUGAACAAAAAUGUGGCAAAAAUUCCCAACAAUCAACUUAAAAAGAGAAAAAAAAUCAAGAACUAACACACACAUUUUAUCAAUUUCUUAACAUGCAAAAAUAUCACAAAAAUAUCAAAAAUGUAUCAAGAAACACAUAGAAAAUUUUUAGGAAUUUUAUGGAAAAAAAUAAAGCAAGCAGGAGGUCCACAUAGCAAGAAACAGGGGUGUGCAUAGCAUGAAAAAAAAGUAAAAACGCAGAAAAAAAAACAAAAAGAAACAGGCCCAAGCCCAAGCCUAAGGGGUCCGGCCGCACAGGAACCACAGAAUUGAUCCAGAGGAUCAAACCCUAGAUCUAACGGUCAAGAUCAAAGGAUGGUGAACCAAAGCUGGACCGGUCCGGUUCGGUUGCUUAUAAAAUGUGGAGGGACCGGUCCAGUUUCAUUUUUCACUUCCCUCUCUCUCUCUCUUCACUAAUUCUAGUGAGAGAAGCUCUCACUUCUCUCUUCUCCCUCCCUCACCGGUUUCUGAGAAAGCCGGCCGGAGAGGAUGAAGAUCUGGCCGGAACCUUCAAGGUCCGCCGGAAUCUUCAUCUUCUCCGGCGAGAUCUGCAGAUUCCGACGUUCAAAAAUUCCAGAAUUCGACCAAAACUACUUCAAUCCACUCGCCUUCUAAUCCUGAGUAUGAAUCCACCACUGAAAUUUGCAGGCAAGGCUUAAAUCAACGUAGAUCUAGAAAAAGCUUUACGGUUUUUCGAAGAAAAUUUUAGGUUUUUACUUUUUUGAAUGAAACUGUUUAGAAACUCCAAGAUCUACGUUGAUUUGUCUGUGUUGAUGUGUUUUGAAAGAAAAGGAAGAAAAAGAAAUUUUGAGUAUGUUACCUCUGGUUUUAAUCGGAGAUUUCGAGCAAGAUUCUUCGGAAACACUUGAUUCUCGUUCUGUUUGAUGAUUUGGUGCUCGGAACCGAAAAUAAAUCGGUGAUUCUUUCACUGAUUUGAUUUCUUCUUCUUUACCGGUUCAAUUUCUCCAUUUCUUUCCUUCUUCUUCUCCUUCCUCUGACUCUGUGAUCGGUGUUGGAGUUCCUCGCCUCCGGUGAGGAAUUCGUGCCUUGAAUUGCAGAGGAGUCAAUUCAGUGAUGAAGAUUCAUCAAUGAAUCUAUGAGAAUUGACGAAUUUGUUGAUGGAUUUGGUUCUGGAAAAUUUAGGGUUUGAACUUGUUCUUGUGUUCUUGGUGAAUUUUCUGUUUUUUAUCCUAACUGACAAGAGAGAGAAGAUUCUUCUCUGUUUGUGAUGUGGCAUGUAAUGAAUGGGAUUUUUUUCUUCUGACACUGUGCACUAUUUAUAAGCUGCCAAGUGUGCCUUUGGACCAGUGAAAUGGUGACACCUGUACUUGAACUUGAAAUGGCUCGGCCUUGUACAAUUUGUGACUUGGGACCUUUCUGCAAAAUAAUAAACUUGAAGGACUAAUCUGCAAUUGUAAAAAAAACAAAAAAAUGCAAUUUUAAAAAGAAAUGGGACCAAAAUGCAAUUUUAGAAACUGUCUCAGGGACCAAAAUGCAAUAAAAAUAAAAUUGGACUAGAAAUUGGUAAAUUGGACAAAACGUAAAGUAAAAUCUAAAAUAAAAUCAACAAAAGGACUAAAAUGAACCAAUUACAAAAAUGAGGUAUUUUAAAAUACUUCUGUCGAAAUUUUGAUGGGAAAAGACCAAAAUGCCCCUAGGGACUAAACUGACUCAGAUGCAAUUUUUGAAAUGAUUUUUUUUUAACAAAAACUCAACAAUGAUUUAUAAAACAAGUUGAAAAGACUCAGAGACAAUCACAGGGACUAAAAUGGGUUCCACUGCAGGAAAUGACCAAAAUACCCUUCUUGUAUGAUUUUUGCAAAUAUUUGAAUUAAAGUGCAAGAAAACAAAGCAAUGAUUCAGAGAGACUUUUUUAAUGACUUGUAACACAAGAAAGGACACUUUGGAUGGUUUUAUGCAAGAAAAUCACAGACAAAAUCACAAUUGAAAAUACUUUGAGACAGAGACAGUAAAAGGUGCAGAUGAAACAAAGUAAAGCUUCAGCGUAAAACAACAGUAAAUUGACAAUUAUCAGUAGUAGAAAAUAAAUUUGAAUGAGUAUUUUUAGGUCCAUAAUCAGGGUAUAACACUUUCUAAUCAUAUCUUUCAGUUGUCUUCUAGCAUUGUUAUUGUAUGCCCCUCUGAUGUUCCAAGAGAGGAUUGAAAUAUCUAUCAGAGCAUCCAUAAUAAAACUGGAAAAAAAAAAGGACCAUAGAGGUAGGUAAUUACGUGACCAUGUCUUCAUCACAAACACCAUGAUCAUCCUUAUUAUUCAUAUUGGCCAUACAAUCAUCUUCUAACUCCUCAUUGUUACUAUGAGUGAGAAUAGUGGUCGAAAUUGUGUGAGGGUCAGAGGUGGUUGGGGGUUUCAUGGUGCUGCUUCCUGAAUUUCCCUCUAAAGCAAAAGUCUGGUCGUGUUUUUGUGGGGACAGGAUAGGUGAAACAAAGUUGUUAUUGGUCCUUUGGUUAUUCUUUAUCGGGGUAGAUAUUGCAUGUUUUUAUGAAGUAUCAUUAGCUGGCUUAGGGUUGGAAAUAAUGAUUGGGGAAGUAAAGGAAUGCUUCAUGAGGUGGUCAGCUGUGUUUUCAUCUUGCCUACGUCUUUUGGGGUCAUUAGUAUGUUUGGUUGCAUGUGUUAAAUCAUUAGGAUUAGGGCGCGGGGGAAAUGUCUGAUUUGGUGGGGUAGGUCUGAUUUUUUGGGUCAUAGAAGCCAACGUGGUGAACCUAUUGGUUUUGUUGGUAACAGUCUUUGAGGAAUUUAAGGUGGAGUUAUUGGUUGACUUCUUUUUUCUUUUAACAAGCAGCCAAUCACCAUGAAGUUCUUUACUCCCUUCAUCAAUGCUAAUUAUAUUGCCUUUAAUUGUUGAUAAAUCAUUCGGAACAUAAUUAAAAAUGUUACCAUUAUUGGAAUCCGCCAUUAAUUGCUCCUGGCCGGUGGUGGGAUUGGUUUGUUACGGUGUCUGGCUGGACUCGCGGUUGUUGACAACACUCUGGUGUUGUGGUGUUUCAGGAGCGGCGGUGCUGGCAGGCUUAGAGCAGUUUCGACCUAGAUGGCCGUAACAACCACAGUUGGUGCAUAUUAGAUGGAGGCCCUCGUACUGAAUUUUGUACCAAUGUCCAUUCACCCAAAUCUUCCUUACAACUGGAAGUGUGAGAUCAAUUUCGACGCAGACUCUUGCAAGUUUUCCUCUUUCAACUUUCAAGGUGUUAGUGUCCACUUUGACUGGCCUGCCAAUUGCUCAAGCCAUAGCUAGGAGAAAACUUUCAUCGUAAUAGACUAGAUUUAGACCUGGAAAAUGAACCUAGACGACCGUGUGUUCCACUUUGGCAUUUGGAGAGGCAAACUCGAGGGACCAAUGUGUGACUGCAAGACAAUGGUCGUAAAUUAACCAAGGACCUCCCGUAACAACUUUCUCUUUGUCUGCUGCUUGAUCAAACUUCACCAUAUAGAAGUCAUUGUCGUUAUCCAUGAUUUCGAAUCCUCCUUGGAGUUUCCAAAUUUUUUGCAGCCGAUCUCUCAUGGAAUUGUAUCCUAGGUUCUUGCCCAACAGCUUGACCACGAGGGCGUCUUUCCAUGGUGUGCAUAGUUCCUGGAAUACCGUUGGCUCCAGGUAAACCUUUGAGAGAAGUCUAUUUUCAUCUUCCAAUUCAAUUCGUACCAGGUUUUUUUCGAUCAUGUUUUCUUUUUCUCGGAUUGGGGCAUCUUGAGAGGAUCCCAAGAGUUUAUCACGGAAGGAGGGCUUUGGUGAUGAGGGCUUGGGGUCAGGUGGCUUUUUGGAGUGGUGCAGGGUUGGAUCAUCUUGAGCUGAGAAGACAAACUCAGAGCUCAUUGCACUCAUACCCUAAAAUUGCAUAAUGUUCUUUUUCUUAUGACAUUUAAUAUUAACUAAAUGUAUACCAUAUUAUUAAAAAUACAAGUUAGUUAUGGUUUAUUUUGCUUAUCAUUUGUUUGUUAAUUUUUUUUUGCUUAUCGUUUGUUCUAUUAUCGCCCCCCUCAACCUUUUUUCUAGCUCCGUCCCUGGACAACUGUGUCUGAAAAUUUUCGGAAAGUAUAUCAGUCGCGAGAACUAGCAUUUCCCUUGAGAAUAUAUUGCACUGUUUUAGAUUUUUAAGUGUUGCGCCAAUUUCAUUUUUUUUUUGAAAGAAGUGUUGCGCCAAUUUCAUUGGUGAGUUAAACUUGAGUCCUAUAUUUGACUUGGUUUAUUGAUCUAUAUGUGUAGUAUGUGUCUGCAUGGUUUAUUGAGUUUUGACAUGGUUGCAAAUUAUUAAUAAUUGGGAUUAGCUCCUAUACAAUAUCCUUCAGAAAACUCUAUAUAAAGGGUAUUUUAAAUGUAUGCGUGUGUUCUGCAUAAAGGAAUAAAUGUGUUCUCCUUCAUAUUAUUUUCCCUUCGUUUGUGCUCUUUGGUAAUGCAACAAUGCUAUUGGUGCUUAGGAGAUACAAUUAAAAACAAUUGCAAAUUUAUCGAUUUUAUUAUCAUAUUAUUUUCCCUUUGAUCUUUCCUUUGACUGUCGGGUUGGAAUAGUAGAUUUCUUUCUUUUGGUGGCCGUUUGAUCCUCCUCAAAGCUGUUCUGACAUCUCUGCUUGUCUAUGCUCUUUCUUUCUUCAAAGCUCCAUCAGGUAUAAUCUCUUCCAUUGAAUCUUUAUUGAAUAAUUUUUUUUGGGGUGGGAGUGAGGAUUGUAGAAAAAUUACUUGGAUAGGUUGGAAUACCUUGUGUUCUAAAAAGGAGCAUGGAGGUUUGGGGGUUAGGAAGUUGAAGGAGUUUAAUAUUGCUUUAUUAGGUAAAUGGUGUUGGAGGAUGUUAGUUGACAGAGAAGGGUUGUGGUAUCAUGUUCUAGUCGCCCGUUAUGGCAAAGUAGGUGGGAGGUUGGAGGUGGGGGCCGAAGUGUUUCCUUGUGGUGGCGGGAGGUAGGUAGGAUUCGUGAUGGUGUCGGUGACAUAGGUGGAGGGUGGUUCGAUGAUAGUGUUAUACGGAGGGUGGGUGAUGGUGUUGCGACUCUGUUCUGGUCGCAUAGGUGGUUUGGAGGUCCACCGCUUUUUGUGCGGUUUCCUCGUUUGUUUGACUUAGCAGAGAACAAAACCAUUACGGUGGCUUCUUUGUUCUCUAUGGGCGUGGAGCAGGGUGGGGAGGGGUGGAGUUGGAGGCCUAGGCUAUGGACGUGGGAGGAGGCUUUGCUAGAGGAGUGUAGGGCGUUACUAUUUGAUAUCUCUUUGGUUUCCAAUGUUUCAGAUAUUUGGGAGUGGCUUCCUAAUACUACAGAGGGGUACUCCGUGAGAGCUUCCUAUGACUUACUAACGACCGGUGAUGAUUCUCAGUUGGGAUUACCGUUUGAUUUGGUGUGGCAUCCUCAGGUUCCUUUGAAGCUCUCAGUUUCUGCGUGGCGCCUUCUCCGGGAUCGAUUACCAACGAAAGCUAACCUGGCUACUAUAACACCCCGUUUUCCCAAUAUAAAAAUUUCUAAACAUAUAUCAGAGUAAACAGCAUAAACGAGAUAUCACAUUCAAAUAUAUUCCAAAAUCAGUUAAAUAACAAUUUAACUUUCAACAAAAUAACUUAAACAUUGCAGCGGAAAAUUGUUUCGAAAUCCAUAAAUCAUUUUGGCACGUAGGCCCCAUCAGAUAUCUCAAACGAGUUAACCAAUAUCAUAAAAAUAACAUAAUUGUUCACGUAAGAGAAUGAAGCAUGCAUAUCAAAACCCCAUCCCGUUACGUAUCAGAGCGACCUAGACGACUCAGUGAGGCAAGGUCACUCACGACGGCAAACUGCACACUAAGCACGAUCACCUGCAAGUUACUCAUACGAAGAGCAACAUUUUCAAGCAGAAGGGGUGAGAUUUCAUAACACAAUGAUAUUAAUCAAUAUAAUUCGAAUCAUAAUUAACAUCAUAAACAGUCUUAAUCAUCAUUGCAUCUUUGAUAAACAGUUAUCAAGUAAUCACAGCAUUCAAUCAUCAUCAAUAACAUAACAUCUUCAGACUCGACAAAUGCGACAAUGCAACUUAGACACUCUUAUAUGCAUGUGGUACCAAUCGUCAUCAUAGUAUUAAUAUACUUUAAUCGUGGGGAGGACAAAGCUCCAAUCGUGGUGAGGACAAAACUCAAAUCGUGGUGAGGACAAAGCUCAAUGUAUGCUAAUGCAUGGACUCUAUCAACAAAACACCUUAAUCAACAAGUCACUUAUACAUCCAAUAAUUUGGAGUUCAUCAUCAACUUAUUCAGACUCAUGCAACUUAGUUAAUUAACAAUAGCAGCAUAAUCAGAUCACAUCAACAGCUUAAUAUCAAUUCAUUUUCAACAAUUUCUUGAGCAUUCAAUAAUAAUUCAAGUAAUGCAAUCAAUCAAUAAAUCACAUUAUAAUCACUUAGCAUUUCAUAAUAGCUUCACAGUUCUCAGUUAAUAUCUUAAAUAGGUCUCAUUAGUACCUAAGUUCAUUUCCUAAUCAAUCCAAGCAACUCAAGUCUCAAAAUCCUCAAAUGCACUCAGUUCUGGAAGUGCUCGCGAGGCGAGAGCAUCUGCUCGCCAUGGCGAGUACAAGCCAGAUUCCAAACUAAGGUUGUUCCAGGUUCAAUCUUGUUCUAAAUCAUUCUCUAAUCUUUAGUAGACACCUAAAGGUACUCAAAGGCAUCUAAGGUUCAACUCAAAAGUCAAAAACUCAGAAUUCGACAUGCUCUCUGGUCAUGCUCGCUAUGGCGAGUAGGGUUGCUCGCUGUGGCGAGCUACGACAUGUAACUCGCGAGGCGAGGGAUUUUGGCUCGCGUGGCGAGCGAUGAACUUCAUCACUCGCGAGGUGAGGAUCAUCACUCGCCAGGGCGAGCAAUGAACAUAGGCUCGGGCAGAAUGCAGUUUUUACAAAAAUUUCAUGAUCUCGCAUGGUUCUAAGCCUAAUUUCAAUUCCAGAAUUCAUCCUAAACAUAUUCUAAGGUUAUAGGACGGUUUCUACAUCAAUCUAAUCAAUUUUAGGGAUUUGACCUAAUUACAAAAACUUUUCUAAUUCAAUCCUAACUUUGUCAAUUAAUCAUCAGAAUUAUAGCAAUCAACAUUACCGAAUUAUUAGUCUCACCCUUACCUUAAAGUGUAUAAAUCGCAGCCCUCCUAGGUCUCUCUUGCUCUUCUCUUGGUUUUUCCUCUUUUUCUCCAAAAACAGUCGUACGUGCAAUUGUUUUUCUAAAACUAGGUCUUUCUUUUUAUAUCUCCUCUUAAUAUCUUAUCUUAUCUCACUUUCUCCCCCAAAACUCUCUAAAAUCUCAAAACAACCCUUAACUAAAUAUUUUAUUUUAUUUUCAAAUCUUAUUUUAUUUAACAAUAAAAUAAGUCUCAUAAUCUCAUCAAAACAUAUCAAAAUCAUCCAAAUCAUCUAAAUCAACAAAAUUCACACAUAUAUUAUAUAAAUAUAAUAUAAUUGCCUAAACUCAAUUAAAUAAAUAAUCAAACGAAAGUGGGCGUUACAGCUACUUGUGGUGUUAUUCCUGCGGAUGAUAUCUUUUCUGUUUCUGGUUGCGGUCACGUGGAGACAGUCGAACAUUUAUUUUUAUCUUGUACUACGUUUGCAUCUUUAUGGCAGCAGGUGCGCGAUUGGAUUGGUUUUAGUGGAGUGGACUCUAACAUCAUUGCAGAUCAUCUGGUGCAGUUUACUCAUUUGACAGGUGUUGGUAAAGCAAAAAGCUCGUUCAUGCAGCUUAUUUGGCUUUUGUGUUCUUGGGUUGUGUGGAAUGAACGUAACAACCGAUUGUUCAAUAAUACUGUUUGUUUAGUCCCCCAACUGUUAGAUAAGGUUAAAUUGUUAUCUUUGGGGUGGCUGAAAGCUAAAAAGGUUGUGUUUGUUUACGGUAUGCAGAGAUGGUGGUCAAGCCCUUUAGCUUGUUUGGGCAUUGACUAACUAGUGUAAUCUCGAUUUGUUGUGAUCAUUAACUCUUGUAACUUUUAGUGGUAUCCUAGGCACAUCUUGUGCUUGGGAACUGCUGCUUGAUGUGGUAUAUAAUUUCAUUUUAAUUUCUUAAAAAAAAAAAACAAUUAACUAGGAAUGAAAAUAAGUCUAACGACCUAUUGAUGUGAAUUUAAUUUAGAGAAUUCUUAUACGGUGCGAAGGAAUACUUUGGCAGGCCACCCUAUUUUUGGGAUCAUCCACCUAUUUUGAGAGAAUAGUGAGUGUGAAUCACUACAAUCUUAUUUAUUUUUUAACAAACUAAAAUGAUAAUAAACAACUGUGAUAUACCCCGCAUAAGGCGUGCAAAAGACAAAUCACACAUGAGUAUUUACAAAUUCAAGGUGCAAAACACAAAGAAAGCACCCCCAAAACAGAAGAAAAAAAAAAAGAUUACAAGUGAACACCCAUAGCCAUGAAUAGGGUCGAACGACCACCUCCAAAAAUCGUGAACAUCAUCCUGCAAAACAAUGUUAUGUAAUAAAACAUAACACUCUCUCACACUUUCCACACUAACUUACAUUACUCUUUGUGCAUUUUAGACUUACAUUUAUUAUCAAUGUUCAUUUGCUCCUUAUGAUGCAUAUUUACACACCUACUCAAAGCUUCAACUUUGUCUAUGUACCAAAUCGGGUUUUUCACAUAGCUAGAUCUCAGAGGGACUAAAAGUCUCUACUAGUUCACCAAAAUAAUUAUCAUCAGGUCCUGACUCAAGCCAGAUUGAAAAUGCUAUAAUUCAAAAUACAAUGCUACAAUUAAGAACUGAAAUUAAACUACUUGGACCUAUAGCUCUUACUCACACCCCCAAACUUAGAACUGAAUGGUGUGAACACCUUUCAAAUUCAAGGUUUAGAUUUUGGAGUUGUGGCUAUUAUUAUAGUAUUUAAUCAAAGACUAAAAACAGAGAAGAGAUAACAAAAAAACAAACUAAAAAAGUUAAUCAAAACAAGAAUUUAAAAAAGAUAAAAGCAAGACUUCCAUGUAUGUCUCUGGUGCUUUCCUCAUUUAUUGGACUGUUAUGAGAAGACUCCUUUUAAAGAUCAAUAAUUUUGUCUUGUUCUUCCUCCUCAACAAACUCAAUCAGUUUACCUUUUCCCUUGCGAUCAACAACUCAGUUCUUUGAAGUUGCGAUUAGAUUUAUUAUUGAAUUAAGAAGUCCAAUUGCUAAAUCUUAGUACAAUCAACUAUCAAUAAUUUACAACACAAUUUACAAAACUAAACAAUUCUCAUAUCAAACCUAAAUUCAAUAAAACAAGCUAUCACUAAUGAACAUAAUGUAUAUGAACUAAUGAAUUGGAACUUGAUUGAAUCCAGUUAUGAUCAAAUUGGCUUAGAAAAGAAUAUUAAUUCAAUGAACUAAGAUUAGGUUUACAAUUAAAAUUAUGAUCACAUUCAAAUCAAUUAACAACAAUUAUUAAGAUUCAUAUACAACAAUUAACACAAAGUAAAGAGGAAGAAAAAGACACCGGAAUUUAUAAUAGUUCCCCCUUUCGUCCUCACUUCGGGGUAUAUAUACUCUUCUUGAUAGAGAACGUCUCUAUCAAGGACUUCAACAAUUGUUAAAAUUUGAUUACAAUGUUAUGAUUACAAGAAUUAUCUCAAUUACCCUAAUUUUCAAUUCCUAUGCAACCACAACCCCCAAUCUUCAAGUAACCCUUGAAAUUGGUGAUUCUCCAGGUCUUCGAAUCCUCAAACACCCAUGCAAUCCUUGAAGCUCUUCACCUCAAACUCUUCUUUUCUAUGUCAGGUGCUUGGAUCCCCUUGCACUUGAGAAGAUUAGAAAGAACCCCUAAUACCCUUGGAGGUGGAAAGAAAUCACUCUAUUCACUUUGGAUUCUUGAUUCCCAACCAAGAUCCUUAAAAGCAAUCAACUUACAAUACCUAUAACAAUCUAGAAAUCUAUGACUCAAAGACCACAAUGAUUAUUAGAAAAAGAGUUUAAUCUGAAGAUCAAGUGGAGAUAGAGGUUUGGAGACUCUAGACAGAAUAGUUGC
rnacentral:lncRNA from 1 species